AUGAACGCUGGCGGCGUGCUUAACCCAUGCAAGUCGCACGGAAAGGCUCCUGCUUGCAGGGGUACUCGAGUGGCGAACGGGUGAGUAACACGUGGGUGAUCUGCCCUGCACUUCGGGAUAAGCCUGGGAAACUGGGUCUAAUACCGGAUAGGACGAUGGUUUGGAUGCCAUUGUGGAAAGUUUUUCGGUGUGGGAUGAGCUCGCGGCCUAUCAGCUUGUUGGUGGGGUAAUGGCCUACCAAGGCGUCGACGGGUAGCCGGCCUGAGAGGGUGUACGGCCACAUUGGGACUGAGAUACGGCCCAGACUCCUACGGGAGGCAGCAGUGGGGAAUAUUGCACAAUGGGCGCAAGCCUGAUGCAGCGACGCCGCGUGGGGGAUGACGGCCUUCGGGUUGUAAACUCCUUUCGCUAGGGACGAAGCGUUUUGUGACGGUACCUGGAGAAGAAGCACCGGCUAACUACGUG
rnacentral:rRNA from 1 species